AAUGAACGCUGGCGGCAGGCCUAACACAUGCAAGUCGAACGGGUCCUUCGGGACUAGUGGCGGACGGGUGAGUAACGCGUGGGAACGUGCCCUUUGCUACGGAAUAGCCCCGGGAAACUGGGAGUAAUACCGUAUAAGCCCUACGGGGGAAAGAUUUAUCGGCAAAGGAUCGGCCCGCGUUGGAUUAGGUAGUUGGUGGGGUAAUGGCCUACCAAGCCGACGAUCCAUAGCUGGUUUGAGAGGAUGAUCAGCCACACUGGGACUGAGACACGGCCCAGACUCCUACGGGAGGCAGCAGUGGGGAAUCUUAGACAAUGGGGGAAACCUUGAUCUAGCCAUGCCGCGUGAUCGAUGAAGGCCUUAGGGUUGUAAAGAUCUUUCAGCUGGGAAGAUAAUGACGGUACCAGCAGAAGAAGCCCCGGCUAACUCCGUGCCAGCAGCCGCAGUAA
rnacentral:rRNA from 1 species